UACGGAGGGAGCUAGCGUUGUUCGGAAUUACUGGGCGUAAAGCGCACGUAGGCGGCUUUGUAAGUUAGAGGUGAAAGCCCGGAGCUUAACUCCGGAACUGCCUUUAAGACUGCAUCGCUUGAAUCAUGGAGAGGUUAGUGGAAUUCCGAGUGUAGAGGUGAAAUUCGUAGAUAUUCGGAAGAACACCAGUGGCGAAGGCGACUAACUGGACAUGUAUUGACGCUGAGGUGCGAAAGCGUGGGGAGCAAACAGG
rnacentral:rRNA from 1 species